rnacentral:rRNA from 1 species
GUCGAGGGGUAUAGGUUUUCGGACCUAGAGACCGGCGCACGGGUGCGUAACGCGUAUGCAAUCUACCUUUUACAGAGGGAUAGCCCAGAGAAAUUUGGAUUAAUACCUCAUAGUAUUAUUGAAUGGCAUCAUUUAAUAAUUAAAGUCACAACGGUAAAAGAUGAGCAUGCGUCCCAUUAGCUUGUUGGUAAGGUAACGGCUUACCAAGGCAACGAUGGGUAGGGGUCCUGAGAGGGAGAUCCCCCACACUGGUACUGAGACACGGACCAGACUCCUACGGGAGGCAGCAGUGAGGAAUAUUGGUCAAUGGGCGCAAGCCUGAACCAGCCAUGCCGCGUGCAGGAUGACGGUCCUAUGGAUUGUAAACUGCUUUUGUACAGGAAGAAACAGUUCUACGUGUAGAACCUUGACGGUACUGUAAGAAUAAGGAUCGGCUAACUCCGUGCCAGCAGCCGCGGUAAUACGGAGGAUCCAAGCGUUAUCCGGAAUCAUUGGGUUUAAAGGGUCCGUAGGCGGUUUUGUAAGUCAGUGGUGAAAGCCCAUCGCUCAACGGUGGAACGGCCAUUGAUACUGCAAGACUUGAAUUAUUGGGAAGUAACUAGAAUAUGUAGUGUAGCGGCGAAAUGCUUACAGAUUACAUGGAAUACCAAUUGCGAA